UGGGGAAUUGUUCGCAAUGGGCGCAAGCCUGACGACGCAACGCCGCGUGGAGGAUGAAGGUCUUCGGAUUGUAAACUCCUGUUGCUCGGGACGCAAUGCUCUGACCUAACACGUCAGAGUUUGACGGUACCGAGUGCGGAAGCCCCGGCUAACUCUGUGCACGCAGCCGCGGUAAUACAGAGGGGGCAAGCGUUGUUCGGAAUUACUGGGCGUAAAGGGCGCGUAGGCGGCCUGUUAAGUCGAACGUGAAAUCCCCGGGCUCAACCUGGGAACUGCGUCCGAUACUGGCAGGCUUGAAUCCGGGAGAGGGAUGUGGAAUUCCAGGUGUAGCGGUGAAAUGCGUAGAUAUCUGGAGGAACACCGGUGGCGAAGGCGGCAUCCUGGACCGGUAUUGACGCUGAGGCGCGAAAGCUAGGGGAGCAAA
rnacentral:rRNA from 1 species